CAGCCGCCGCGGGAAUACGUAGGGUGCAAGCGUUAAUCGGAAUUACUGGGCGUAAAGCGUGCGCAGGCGGUUCUAUAAGACAGAUGUGAAAUCCCCGGGCUCAACCUGGGAACUGCAUUUGUGACUGUAGAGCUGGAGUGCGGCAGAGGGGGAUGGAAUUCCGCGUGUAGCAGUGAAAUGCGUAGAUAUGCGGAGGAACACCGAUGGCGAAGGCAAUCCCCUGGGCCUGCACUGACGCUCAUGCACGAAAGCGUGGGGAGCAAACAGGAUUAGAGACCCCAGUAGUCCCUGUCUCUUAUAC
rnacentral:rRNA from 1 species